rnacentral:rRNA from 1 species
UGGGGAAUAUUGGACAAUGGGGGAAACCCUGAUCCAGCGACGCCGCGUGAGUGAAGAAGUGUUUCGGCAUGUAAAGCUCUAUCAGCAGGGAAGAAAAUGACGGUACCUGACUAAGAAGCCCCGGCUAACUACGUGCCAGCAGCCGCGGUAAUACGUAGGGGGCAAGCGUUAUCCGGAUUUACUGGGUGUAAAGGGAGCGUAGACGGCGAUGCAAGUCUGGAGUGAAAGCCCGGGGCUCAACCCCGGGACUGCUUUGGAAACUGUGUUGCUAGAGUGCAGGAGA